rnacentral:misc_RNA from 1 species
GUAAAAUCUGUACACCAGGCAGGCAAGCAGGGUGAGCUCUGCUCUUCUCACUCAGAGUGUCAAAAAAACAAAGAGCAGAGAGGGAGAGAGAGAGAGUCAGACCCACUAGAAAGUAGAAAACAGAUGAGAUCCAUUCUUUCUCUCUCUACUAAACAUUCUUCUCUUUUCCCUUUUUAAGCUUUUCUUUCUCUUUUUUGUUUGGGGAAAAAUCUCACAAUCUGGAAGUCCAACUAAAACCUCACACUAUUAAGAAAAACCCACAAAAGAUAGUCUCUGUGUUUGUGGUUUUGCUUUUCUUCUUUUUAAUUUUUAAUUAAGAUAGUUAUUUCUCUUUUUUGGGUUUGUGUAUAGUGAUUUCUAGCUCAUAUUUUUUGACUGUGGACAGCUCCAAUUCCAAAUCAUUACUUGGUUUUCCUUUUGUCUUCAAAAAGCACUCUCUCUUCGAUUAGCGUAUGCACGUCCCUUCAUUGCUCUAAUUAAUCCCAUUUCUCCUUUUAGGGUUUUUCUUCCUUUGUAUACUUUGCUCAGAACCAGGAAAGAAAAUGUGGGUUGGUGUGGGAAUGUGAUGAGGAAUGAGAAAUGGGGUGCGUCUUUGGGAGAGAGGUGACUCCGAGGAAGGCGGCGGCGGCGGCGGAGAGGGAAGGGAGAAGAGAGAGGGAGGAAGCUAGGGUUGCGAGAGCUCAGGAGGAAAGUAGUCAGGUUAGAAAUGGAGAAGAGAAUCGGAAGGAGAAAAAUGAGGUGGAGGUGGAAGAGGAGGAGGUGAGGGCGCGACCUCGGGGUGAGAGGAGGAGGUCAUCUAGACCGAAUCCAAGGUUGAGUAAUCCUCCCAAGCACGUGCAAGGUGAACAGGUGGCGGCUGGAUGGCCCUCUUGGCUCUCCGCCGUCGCCGGUGAAGCUAUCAAUGGAUGGACCCCACGACGUGCUGAUACUUUUGAGAAGAUUGACAAGAUUGGGCAGGGUACUUAUAGUAAUGUGUACAAAGCUAGGGAUACUAUGACAGGGAAAAUUGUUGCAUUGAAGAAGGUUCGGUUUGACAAUUUGGAGCCGGAGAGUGUAAAAUUUAUGGCUAGGGAAAUUUUGAUUUUGCGCCGUUUAGAUCAUCCCAAUGUUGUAAAACUGGAAGGUUUGGUCACCUCAAGGAUGUCUUGUAGUCUGUACCUUGUUUUUGAAUACAUGGAGCAUGAUUUGGCUGGACUAGCAGCAAGCCCAAAUAUCAAUUUCACAGAGCCUCAGGUCAAAUGUUAUAUGCAUCAGUUGUUAUCUGGCCUUGAACACUGUCACAACCACCAUGUGCUGCAUCGUGAUAUUAAGGGAUCAAAUCUUCUUAUUGGCAAUGAUGGAAUCCUUAGAAUUGCUGAUUUUGGGUUGGCUUCCUUUUUUGAUCCUAAUCACAAGCAGCCCAUGACUAGCAGGGUAGUUACCUUAUGGUAUCGACCCCCUGAACUGCUCCUUGGGGCCACUGACUAUGGUGUGGGUGUGGACCUUUGGAGUGCUGGUUGCAUUCUUGCUGAGCUAUUGGCCGGGAAGCCAAUCAUGCCUGGUCGCACUGAGGUGGAGCAAUUGCACAAGAUAUUUAAACUAUGUGGCUCUCCUUCUGAAGAAUACUGGAAAAAGUCAAAAUUGCCUCAUGCAACCAUAUUUAAGCCCCAACAAUCAUACAAGCGAUGUAUAGCAGAGACUUUUAAAGACUUCCCACCAUCUUCAUUGCCCCUAAUUGAGACCCUUCUCGCAAUUGACCCAGCUGAACGUCAAACUGCUACUGCUGCAUUGAAGAGUGAAUUCUUCAGUACCAAGCCUUAUGCUUGUGAGCCUUCUAGUCUUCCUAAUUAUCCUCCAAGCAAGGAGAUGGAUGCGAAACUACGUGAUGAAGAAGCUCGAAGAUUGAGAGCUGCCGGAAAGGCUAAUGCUGAUGGUGUGAAGAAGUCACGUCCACGUGAUCGAGCUGUAAAGGCAUUUCCUGCUCCAGAAGCCAAUGCUGAGCUUCAAGCCAAUCUUGAUCGGCGGCGUUUGAUAACACAUGCAAAUGCUAAGAGCAAGAGUGAGAAAUUUCCUCCACCACAUCAAGAUGGAACACUUGGUUAUCCUUUGGGCUCUUCACAUCACAUUGAUCCUAUCUUUGAUCCCCCUGAUGUCCCAUUCAGUUCCACAAAUUUCUCAUAUUCAAAAGUACCCAUCCAGACAUGGUCAGGCCCAUUGGUGGACCGAGCUUCAGUUGGUGCUCCAAGAAGAAAGAAACAGAAAGAUAGAAGUUCUGCUCAGGUGAAAGAGAAGGAAGGCAUGUAAUAUAAUUUCUGCUCAUUCGUGAGACUUUUCAUGAGGCUGCAAAAGCUGCAGAUCCAGCCUUUCAUGUAUCGUUCGGGGAAAGCCAGUUAAACUUCAAGGAGAGGUAAAAUAUCUUUAAAUUCAUUUUUUCUUUGUCCUUGUUCUAUUAUUUUGUAUUGCGAGAAGUUGAUCUAGUAUUGUAUAUGUUCUUUUGCUUUCUUUUGAAAAACUCUAUGUAGGUUAGUGGAAAAAAUUAAUAAAUGUGUUGGGAACUCGGAAUUUUGUGUUUCAGGUAUUUACUCUGAUUUUGUUAGUUCUUGAAGGAUUCCUAUAUAUUCCAGUUGUUACUCUUAAGGAUUUUCCUCAAGAGCUGUAUGUUCCCAUGUAAUAAGUAUUCCAGCUCAUGGAUAUCAAGGUCUGCAGUUGCAGAGUGAAUAUGUUAAUUAUUAGCAGAACAAAAUUACAGAGACAUCAUAAUUGAGGAUAAAUUUAUGACCUUCCAAAUUCCAAUGCUUUCAACUGUACAACGUGCACUGAUUGUCUUCUUGUUGCUGGUUAGUAGUGAGACAGCCCAACAGGUUAUUCUGUUGCCUAGAUUGUAACAAUGCUGUUCUCAUUUGCCCUAAGAUACGAUGGUGAAAGGCCACUUCAGAAAGCUGCUUUUGUCGCCCUUUGGUGAAGGUAUAAAAGGAUGUUAUAAAUGCAAUUAAUUGUUACCGUUUUAUAUGAAAA